UGGGGAAUAUUGGACAAUGGGGGGAACCCUGAACCAGCCAUGCCGCGUGUGUGAAGAAGGCCUUAUGGUUGUAAAGCACUUUAAGCGAGGAGGAGGGUACUGGUAUUAAUACUACCAGGUACUGGACGUUACUCGCAGAAUAAGCACCGGCUAACUCUGUGCCAGCAGCCGCGGUAAUACAGAGGGUGCGAGCGUUAAUCGGAUUUACUGGGCGUAAAGCGUGCGUAGGCGGCUAAUUGAGUCGGAUGUGAAAUCCCCGAGCUUAACUUGGGAAUUGCAUUCGAUACUGGUUAGCUAGAGUGUGGGAGAGGAUGGUAGAAUUCCAGGUGUAGCGGUGAAAUGCGUAGAGAUCUGGAGGAAUAUCGAUGGCGAAGGCAGCCAUCUGGCCUAACACUGACGCUGAGGUACGAAAGCAUGGGGAGCAAACAGG
rnacentral:rRNA from 1 species